rnacentral:rRNA from 1 species
UACGUAGGGUGCAAGCGUUAAUCGGAAUUACUGGGCGUAAAGCGUGCGCAGGCGGUUUUGUACGUCUGUUGUGAAAUCCCCGGGCUUAACCUGGGAAUGGCAAUGGAGACUGCAAGGCUAGAGUUUGGCAGAGGGGGGUAGAAUUCCACGUGUAGCAGUGAAAUGCGUAGAGAUGUGGAGGAACACCGAUGGCGAAGGCAGCCCCCUGGGUCAAAACUGACGCUCAUGCACGAAAGCGUGGGGAGCAAACAGG